UCUGCGCCUCCCCUGUUUGUGCUUUGUCUCUCUCUCUCAAAAAUGAAAAACAUUAAAAAAAUUUUAAAUAUUUAACCUCUAUACACCAAGAAGCAAUCAGGCAAAUCCCAGAUUGUGGAAUAGUGAACAAAACCAGCCUGGUCCCUUUGAAGAUGUCAAGGUGAUGAAAGACCACCCCCCCCCCCCCCCGGACUAAAAAAAAGCCAGAGUGGGAGGAGAGGAUGGAUGGUGCCGUUCUAUACUAAAUAACACUCAAGAGACAUAAAAACUGAAAUGGACUCUGCACUUGAAAAAACAGGUAUCAUUUUGGGCUGAGGAAAUCUUAAUAUGAACGAUAUGUUAUAUAAUAUUAUGAGAAUAGUACUGUGGCUAAGUACACAAGUGUUCUUGUUCUUAGGAGGUCACUAUUGAAACCUGUAGAAGGGCGCCUGGGUGGCGCAGUCGGUUAAGUGUCUGACUUCAGC